AGAGGACCUCUUGCUCCCCGCACUUCACCCCAGAGUUACCUCAUCUCUUGCCCCUAGUGGGCGCCCAGGCUGGGAGUGACCCUUCGAGAGGAAGGAGGAGCGGUGAUUCCUGGAACAGCCCGCGAGCCGGGGACUGCAGGACAAUGAACGAGAUCGAUUUCAGUAUUGGCCUAUAAAUCCAAAAUACUGCAGGACAACAUCCACUGCUGGUUUGGUGCUGAGCACUGAGCACGAUGCUAGGGAGACCAGCCCUCAACAUGUUUAGCCUUUACUACUCAUAUCUCCCCCUCCCUCAGGAAAUGCAAACUCCUGGAAGACAGGAUCUAUAUCCCCUACAGCACCCAGCUCAAUGCUCAUCCCCUAAGCAGUGCCCAGUUAACAUCUGUGGGUCAAUGGGCUCACUGUAAUUCAAAGCACUAUGGGUUUGUGUUAGUUAAAAGAUGCUAAUAAAGGGAACUAGGACCACUAAGGGAGAGAACAACCUUCAAGAGAAAGACAAACCUUAACAAAGCCAUUCUUGUCCAACUAUAUCCCAUUCUGUUUCUGGCUUCAGAGUCUUUGCUCCUGAAGUCUCCCCUGCCUAGAGUGGCCAUGGCUUCUCCCACUACACUUGGCUACCUAAUAAUAUAGUGAUCAAUCAGUAAGUAUUUGUUUGAACUAACAAGUGACAAAGUUAAAGGAUUAUGCUCCAUAACUUUGUAUAUCCAUCACUUCACUCGAGACCAGCUACUUAAUUUGUGAGGCCCCUUGUUCAAAAAUUAUUAACAAUUUCAAGACAGCAACAGCGGAGCAUUAAACCAAGUAUGGGUCCUUUCUAAGUAGGGGGCCCUGCUAUAGAUUGAAUGUUUGUGUCCCCAGAAUUCAUAUGUUAAAUAUCUACUGCCCUAGGUGAUGGUAUUAGGACAUAGGGCCUUUGGGAGGUGAUUAGGUCAUGAAGGUAGAGCCCUCAUGAAUGGGGAUCUGUGCCUUAUAAAAAAGGCCCCAGGGAGAUCCUUUGCCCCUUACACCAUGUAAGAACACAGCAAGAAGGCUCUGACUAUAAACCAGGAAGAAAGCUCUCACCAGAACAUGAUGCCUUAAUCUUGGACUUUCCAGCCUCUAGAACUGUGAGAAAUAAAUUUCUGUUGUUUAUAAACUA